UGAGGCCUAUGAUGAUCUAAAUAUUUGCUUACAUUGCCCGAUUAUAUCCAUGACGGAGGAAUCUGAACUUUUCUGAGGCCACA